rnacentral:rRNA from 1 species
AGCAGCCGCGGUAAUUCCAGCUCCAAUAGCGUAUAUUAAAGUUGUUGCAGUUAAAAAGCUCGUAGUUGAAUUUCGAGAUCAAAUUGUUGGUCGUGCCUUGGUACGUACUGGCAUUAUUGGUUUCUCCCUUCUGAAGAACCAUGAUGUCAUUAAUUUGGUGUCAUGGGGAAUCAGGACUGUUACUUUGAAAAAAUUAGAGUGUUUAAAGCAGGCUCGCGCUUGAAUACAUUAGCAUGGAAUAAUGAAAUAGGACGUUUAAUUCUAUUUUGUUGGUUUCUAGGAUUGACGUAAUGAUUAAUAGGGAUAGUUGGGGGCAUUAGUAUUCAAUUGUCGGAGGUGAAAUUCUUGGAUUUAUUGAAGACUAACUACUGCGAAAGCAUUUGCCAAGGAUGUUUUCAUUAAUCAAGAACGAAAGUUAGGGAUCGAGGACGAUCAGAUACCGUCGUAGUC